AUCCUGUCUGAAUAUGGGGGGACCAUCCUCCAAGGCUAAAUACUCGUAAUUGACCGAUAGUGAAUCAGUACCGUGAGGGAAAGGUGAAAAGAACCCCGAGAGGGAAAGGCGAAAAGAACCCCGGGAGGGGAGUGAAAUAGAUCCUGAAACCGUGUGCAUACAAACAGUCGGAGCGGACCUUGAUCCGUGACGGCGUACCUUUUGUAUAAUGGGUCAGCGACUUACAUUCAGUGGCGAGGUUAACCGAAUAGGGGAGCCGUAGAGAAAUCGAGUCCGAACAGGGCGACAGUCGCUGGGUGUAGACCCGAAACCAGGUGAUCUACCCAUGGCCAGGAUGAAGGUGCGGUAACACGCCCUGGAGGUCCGAACCCACUAAUGUUGAAAAAUUAGGGGGAUGAGUGUGGGUAGGGGUGAAAGGCCAAUCAAACUUCGAAAUAGCUCGUACUCCCCGAAAUGUUUUUAGGAACAGCCUGGCGGUUGAGUUAUUCAGAGGUAGAGCUACUAAUUGGGUGCGGGGGAGUCAAAUCCUACCAAAUCCAGAUAAACUCCGAAUGCUGGAUAACAUACGCUGGAGUGAGGCUCUGGGUGCUAAGGUCCAGGGCCGAGAGGGAAAGAACCCAGACCAUCAGCUAAGGUCCCUAAAUUACUACUAAGUUGAACUAACGAGGUCCGACUGCACAGACAGCUAGGAUGUUGGCUUGGAAGCAGCCAUUCAUUUAAAGAGUGCGUAACAGCUCACUAGUCGAGCGGUCGGGCAUGGAUAAUAAUCGGGCAUUAAACAGUAUACCGAAGCUAUGGAUUUACACUUUUAGUGUAUCUGGUAGGGGAGCAUUCUAUCGCCGGUGAAGCAUGACACGACAAGUGCAUGUGGAGGUUAUAGAAAAGCAAAUGUAGGCAUAAGUAACGAUAAGGCGGGAGAGAAACCCGCCCACCGAAAGACUAAGGUUUCCUGAUCAACGCUAAUCGGAUCAGGGUUAGUCGGGGCCUAAGGAUAAUCCGGGUGGAGAUUCCGAUGGACAACUGGUUAAUAUUCCAGUACUUUUUACAACUGCGAUGCAGUGACGGAGUAGUGACACAUCCGCGUCCUGACGGAAUAGGACGUUAAAGAUCGUAGGUAUAGGGAAUGUAGUAAAGUACGCAUUCUUUGCUGAAAAUUGAUAGUACAGCGAGCCUUCGGGUAAGUUGAUAGUGAUGGUAAUCAGACUUCCAAGAAAACCUGCUAAGCUUCAGGUUGUAAAAACCCGUACCGCAAACCGACACAGGUAGUCAAGGAGAGUAUCCUGAGGCGCUCGAGUGAAUCACGGCCAAGGAACUCGGCAAAAUGGCCCUGUAACUUCGGGAGAAGGGGCGCUUUCAGCAAUGGAAGCCGCAGUGAAAAGGCCCAGGCGACUGUUUAACAAAAACACAUGGCUUUGCAAAAUCGAAAGAUGACGUAUAAGGCCUGACACCUGCCCGGUGCUGGAAGGUUAAAAGGAGGGGUUAGCGCAAGCAAAGCCUCGAAUUGAAGUCCCGGUAAACGGCGGCCGUAACAAUAACGGUCCUAAGGUAGCGAAAUUCCUUGUCGGGUAAGUUCCGACCUGCACGAAAGGCGUAAUGAUUUGGGCGCUGUCUCGACAAUACAUCCGGUGAAAUUGAAGUGCCAGUGAAGAUGCUGGCUACCUGCGCCAGGACGGAAAGACCCCAUGGAGCUUUACUCCAGCUUGAUACUGGGACCCGGUAUUGCAUGUACAGGAUAGGUGGG
rnacentral:rRNA from 1 species